AGCUUAAAUGGUAGAGCGCAUGCUUAGUGAGCAUGCAUAAGGUUCUGGGUUCAAUCCCCAG
rnacentral:tRNA from 1 species